rnacentral:rRNA from 1 species
UGUCGGGGUAACGGCCCAACAAGCCAGUAAUCGGUACGGGUUGUGGGAGCAAGAGCCCGGAGUUGGAUUCUGAGACACGAAUCCAGGCCCUACGGGGCGCAGCAGGCGCGAAAACUUUACAAUGCGGGCAACCGUGAUAAGGGAACCUCGAGUGCCUGUAUAUGCAGGCUGUCUGGGUGUCUAAAACACACCUAAAGAAAGGGCCGGGCAAGACCAGUGCCAGCCGCCGCGGUAAUACCGGCGGCUCGAGUGGUGGCCACUUUUAUUGGGCUUAAAGCGUUCGUAGCUGGGUUAUUAAGUCCCUUGGGAAAUCCGACGGCUUAACCGUCGGGCGUCUAAGGGAUACUGGCAAUCUUGGAACCGGGAGAGGUGAGGGGUACUUCGGGGGUAGGAGUGAAAUCCUGUAAUCCUCGAGGGACCACCUGUGGCGAAGGCGCCUCACCAGAACGGCUUCGACAGUGAGGGACGAAAGCUGGGGGAGCAAACCGGAUUAGAU